UGAACCCAAAGGAGGGGGAGCUCAGGCCUCAGGCCCUCCAGGCCUGAGGUUCCAAAUCCCAGUUCUUGGGCCAGCUCUGUGCUCCUCUGAGACCAGGCCUACAAACAUCCAAGGACCACCUGCUGUAUACAUGGCCUGUGCCUCAGGGUGCUGAGAUGAACUAGGCUCAGCUCCUUCCCCGAAGGUGCCCGUGCGCAUCCCUGUUCCGGGACCACCCGUGAUACAUGACGGCGUAGCGUGUGUUCGAGCGACAGUGGCCGCCAUUUUGAACAUCAGCUGUUUCAGAGCCUGGGGUUUUGGGAGGACACUCAUUCACACAUUCAUUCGUUCAUUCGUUUAUUCAUUCAUUGAAUAAACGAAUGAACUUCAUCAUUCAUCGAAAGAUCUUUGACGGAUCUUUACAGGCAACCAUCACUCUGGAAGGCCGCUCAGCAGCUUCUACUAAAACCAAACAUAGGCCCACGCUAGGGCCCAGCAGGGCCACUCCUGGGUGCAUACCCAGGAGAAAUGCUCACACACCCUGCGAAAAGCCACGUCCCAGAACAGCCUCAUCUCAGGCCAUACAACCUCCACCUCCAACCUUGCCUGCCAGGAUGCAACUCAUCAAAAGCUGUGCUGCACACCUACUAUGUGCAGGGCCAGUGGCCAAGGUCUAGGGAAGAAACAGGCACUCCUGGAACAUGGAACCCAUCUUCAAGGAGCUCAUAGUCCAGCAGAAGCCCAGUACAGGUCUGGGGCCCACACUCAAGGACUUUCUGAGCCAGCCAGCCACUGGACUGACCCCACAGCCACCAGCAACUUCCAGAACCUUCACAUCAGCAGAACACCAGGUCCUCAUCCUUUUGAGGUCUCCCCAGACCCACCCUCUGAGCUCGCUCACCACCACCAAGGCCCAGUGGCCUCACCGCAGACCUCAGGUCUCCUAGCCGGAGCAAGGUGAUGCAAAUCAUCUCGCUGGCUCCGACUCCAACUCAGGGCACUUCUACACCCUGGCCUUGUCUGAUGCUCACAACCACCUCAGGAGGACUAUUAUGCCCAUUUGGCAGGUGAAGAAACUGAGGCCAAGAGAACAAAGCGGGUUGUCAAGGCUAUGCACCCAGCCAAGUGAAGCACUAGGUGGUGUUCAGAGGCCAGAAUCCCAGCGCCAGACCCCCAGGCAGGCUUCAUGACAACUGAUGGUGCCCUCACUGGCUGAGAGCCUCCACAACCAGUCAAUGGCAAGAUGGGACAGACAGCCACUCCCAGGGCCUGCGCCUCACCACCUCACCCCAAAGGGUACUAGUCCCUAAAACUUUGUCCACUGGAGUCCCUGGGACCCUAGAACCCCUACAGGGCCAGUCUGGGCCGUGGGAUUGAGAGAUGGGGUCCACAUCCCUGGUGCCCGCCCAGCUGCUGCUGGGCUGUCGACCAAGCCACCUGGAGCUGAUGCAUUUGGACAUUUCUCUGGCUCCUGGGGGCAACAGGCGGGAGUUGGCACCUCCUGCCACUUCCCCUGGCUGGUCAGGGAGACAGAGUUUUCUCCUGAGCUCAGGGCUUUGCUCUUGAUUCCAGAAAAGCAGCCACGGGCCUUACAUAAGCUCCCAGGCACCUUGGCCUGCCACGUGUCAACCUCCUGGGCUGAAACACACCCUCCCGAGGGUGGCUCCAGCUCUGCCCACCACCGUGCCAGCCUCGGAGCCCACCACUCCCUCCCCUGGCCAUUUGCUCUGGCCAGAUUGGACCUCCUCAGGUCCUAGGCCCUGUUCCCGCUCUUCCCUCUCACUGGGGCACCUUCCCUUCCCCCAAGGCCCUGUUCUCCCAGGCCCUACUGAUUCAUUCAUUUGUCCAGUGAGCACCUACUAUGUGUGGGCACUGUGUGGGCUUCGGGCUAUGCUGGGGCACGAGCCAGACUCAGCACCAGCCCCCAUUCAGCCCACACUUCCGCAGAGGAAAGAGACACACCGAUCAAUUAAUUUCUUUCUUUCUGCUUUUCCACAACUCUUAUCACCAUCAAACACGGUGCAUAAUUUAUGUCUUUGUAUCUCCAUGAUUUGGUGUCUGUCUCUCCAGCCUAAGAGAAGCCUGUAAGGGAGGUGUAUCCCCUCACUGCUGUAUCCCCAGUGCCUGGAAUGGUGCCUGGAGCAUACUAGGUGCUCAAUCAAUAUUUGUUGACUAAGUGAAUAAAAAGUGCUGGGAAGUAAAUAAACAUGAGGGAAAGGUGGGAGUGGAGACAAUCAUCUUGCCCUCUCUAAAGGAAGAGAUGUUUAAGUGAAAACCAAGAACUGGGAGGCCACAGUCCUGACUGAUCUGCUGGAAGAGCACAGGAGGAAUAGCACGUGUGAAGGCCAGGGGAAUGGGGCCCGCUCGGUGCAUUUAAGGAAGGUAAGCGAGGCCGAGCCUCGGGCAGGGAGGCAGAUGGAACCAAAGAGUUUGGCAGGGCCCUGGGGGAGAACACAGAGGAGUGUGGGUUUUAUCCCAAGUUCAACAGAAGCCACAGGUGGGUUUUAGGCAGGGGAGUGGUGUUCUCUGGUCUGUUUCUAAGCCAUCUCUCUAGGGCCUGAAGGGAGAGUGGAUGAAGGGGCAGGGGUGGAGCAGGAAGGGCCCGGAGGAGCUGGGCUGGCCUGCCCUUGGCUGCUGGUGAAGACAGGGUGAAGGCAGUGGAUUGAGAUUUAUUCUCCAGGUAAAGCACCUGGUCUUGCAUCAACCACAGUGGCACACCUGCAACCCUCUCCCCAGAAUUACCGAAGUCCUUCCUGAAACCACACAGGUGGAAAGAGCUCCCCCGGCCUCCGGAACUGCACAAAACUACCCCCUUCCUGCCUCUGGGCUACGUCGCUUGCACUGACUUUAUGUUGCUUCUCUUGGCCUGUUUAAUGCCGCCACACUGUGCUGCCCUUGUGCUCACACCUCUCCCCUCACUGUGGACUCCCAGAAACCACACCCCUAAGGCCACCACCCCCAACUCUCUCCCCAGUGUCCACCCAGCCUC